rnacentral:sRNA from 1 species
GCCAUUCUAAAGCAAAACAGUGUUUCUAUUUUAUUUUUUAUUUUUUAUUAAAGAGAAACAAAUACAAGGUCAAGCAAACUGAAAGAGGCACAUAUACCCCAAAAAAACGCAUAUGCCAAACAACAACAAAAAAAAAAAACCAAAACUAUAAAAAAAUCUUAAACGCUCAAGAAGUCCGGACACAAAAGGAGAAGAGACCCCUUAAUCUAAGAAAAUUAACCAAGCGGAGAGUAGAGAAAACCAUGGAGGAGCGAUACGUUGCUUUUUAGCAAGAUGAUCAAGACGCGCCCACAUUAACGACUUGAUGUCUUUGAUGAUUGACGUGGGGUCUUGAAAUUCGUAGUGCAGAUACGAGAGUUACAUUUCUUCCAAAGGAGAUAGACCGCUGCCUGAAACACAAUUAUUAUGAUCAAAUCAAGAUUUGGAUCCCUAGUAGCCGAGUAGACCCAGUGAAAACAAGCCAUAAAAUGGUUUGGGGGUAACCAAGUGUCGUUAGCUCAAUUGGUAAAGAUCCUAGACAAAGUUUAGAGAUUGCUGGUUCGAGUGACGCUUAGGACGAAACUAAUAUUACUGGCUGUAGUUUCGGGUCUGGGAGAUUAUGAGUUUCGGUCCAGAACUUCCUGUUAUUCAAAAAAAAAAAAGUUCAAACAACAUAACAGGUAAUAAAAAACAAGUACUCUCUUAACUCAUUAGAACCGUUGCAACGAACACAAGAGGGAGAGAUAAAAUGUCCCUCGAUCCUAAGUCUAUCACGGUUCACGGGGGAUGAUGGUCCGACUUCCACAAAUAGAUGUCAUCAUCCAAAGGAUUCAACUCCCAUAAAUUCCUAUUCCCAUUGUUUCUGUUACCAGUGUUUCUAUUUUAU